rnacentral:rRNA from 1 species
AGUUGGUGGAGUGAUUUGUCUGGUUAAUUCCGUUAACGAACGAGACCUCAGCCUGCUAAAUAGUGACAUGAAGCUUCUGCUUCAUGGCACACUUCUUAGAGGGACUAUUGGCGUUUAGCCAAUGGAAGUUUGAGGCAAUAACAGGU